rnacentral:rRNA from 1 species
UACAGAGGUGCCAAGCGUUAGGCGGAACCACUGGGCUUAAAGCGCGCGUAGGCGGAUGUUUAAGUGUCUUGUGAAAUCCCACGGCUCAACCGUGGAACUGCUGGGCAUACUGGACAUCUCGAGGCACUCAGGGGCGAGCGGAACAAGUGGUGGAGCGGUGAAAUGCGUAGAUAUCACUUGGAACGCCAAUGGUGAAGACAGCUCGCUGGGGGUGUCCUGACGCUGAGGCGCGAAAGCCAGGGGAGCGAACGGG